rnacentral:lncRNA from 1 species
GCAACAAUAAAAUUAACCCUUUCUCUCUUCCUCUUCAUCAUCAUCGCUCACACUAUCCAUCAAAUUUGAUUUUCUUUCUUCCCUAAAACUUCCAACAAUCGAGCAAAAAGGAUUCACAUCUUCAAUCUCAAUUCUCAAAUAAGCAAAAUCAAAGUGUCAACCUCAAAUCCUCAAUCUUGAGAUUGAAAAUCUAAGGUAAAGUGAGUAUUUCAAUUUUUCGAUAUUCUAUUCUCUUUUUUUCAGCUGAACCCUAAAACCCCAAUUUGUUAAAACUUCUAUUUUCUCAAUUCCUUUAUAAUCAAUUGGUGUGAAGAACAAUAGUAUUUAGUUGUGAUUUUCAUCUGUUAUGUUCCGUAGGUUAUUGUAUGUCUUGGAUUUGUUCAUCUAACUUUGAUAGUGUGUUUUUGGUGUUGGUGAUAUGGUUAUUUGUUUGGGUAGUGUCCUGCUCCUGCUAUAUUAUGCAAGUGUUAAUAUGAGUUCCACUCUUUGAAGCACGGUGUCGGACACCGACACUUAUAGUUACAUUGAAUUGUGUUAUUUUUUCAAAUUAUUAUCGGUGUCGACGUGUCAGUGUCCGUGCUUCAUAAGUUCCACUAGACCUCACUGAAUUAUAAUUUCAAAGUUAGAAGAAUUGCAUUAUGAUAUGGUCACGGGUUUGGAUGUGAAAUUGGCUUAGACUCACAGUGCAUUGUUUCGUCCUUCAACUUCAAUUGGCACUUGUUGCUUGUGCUAAGACUCACAAAAAUGUUAGUGGUUUUUUAAGUAAGGUCAAUAUGCAUGUUAAUUUCAUACGAUCUUCUAAUAAGAGACAAGAAUUGCUUUGAGACAAACAAUUAACUUAGUUCGCUAAAUUUCUUUCAUGUUUAGCCACACUAGUAGUAUUAAAUGUCUGGAUCCGCCCCUGCUGAUUUCAUAAGCUAUAUUGGAAAACUGAAAGAAAAAAGAAAAAACUUAUUUUUCAUUAGUCAUGCCAAACAGUCUCACAAAACUUAUGUCAGUAGAUAAGAUCAAAUAAGUCAAUCCAAACAGGUCCUAAAUAAAUUUUGUUGAUUUUCUUUAACUUGGGAAUAAUUUGCUAUUUUGUAAAUUUGUGGGAUUAAAUUGCUCUAUUCUUACAAUUUUGAGGAUCCAAAUUUUUAUUUACUUCUUAUUGUUCCUCUCACAAAGAGACCGUUUUUUCAUAUUCUUUCAAAAAUAUUGGUGAUUGUUAUAUUUAUCUUUUUAUUAUAGCACAGUAGUAACAGUUCCUAUAGCAUAACGUCUAAGUUUUAUCCUUAUUUAUGUAUUAAUAUAUUGCAGGUAGUGUUUCUGA